GCUAAAAUUGCUCCACCAAUGUAUCUUUUUGCCAGAUUCCCUAGCUUUUGGUUUGUCUUGCUUCUCCUACAUCUGCUGGCCGAGACAUGCCAUUCUCUUUUGUUCUGGCUCUUUCCUUGGCUUCAUUCCACGAAGGGACAGUAUUUAGACCCCCUGCAGCCUCGUGAGCAAACCUCCUGCGUUUGUCUGUGCCUUUCGUUGCGCCAGCCCAGCGCUCCCCACAGGGCCUCGCUCUAGUAGGUUCUAAGAAGCAUUUGUAAUGAAGGAACUCCCGGAGGCCUGGGUAGCUAAUCUUCCUGUGCCCUGCUCUCCUGGGGAGAGCUCAUCCAUCCCCAGCUGUCACGCUGGGCAGAGGCGUCCGAAUCUACAUAUUCAGGUUGAAAACCAAGCCCAGGAUUUCCUCUGUGGUGGACUUCGAGAGAUGUUAACCAGGAAACCAGGUUGGAACCAGGGUGCUUUCUCUAAAGGUUCGGGACUGUUUGAGAAGAGACACAGGCAUCCAACAAGGGUCACCUCAGGAAGCACAGUUUGGAUCAGACUUCCCCUCAGGUCUUGUGAGAAUGCACGUGGCUAAUGCACUGAGUGAACUGACGGAGAGUUGAGGACAAUGCCUGCAGGAGGGGGUCAGCUUGCUCUCUGAAGCCCUUCGCUCCUGUGGGGGUGCAAUGGUCCAGGCCAUUCCUGGAACCAAGGUCCAGUAAACACCUCCACUCCAGCACCGCCCCCCCACCCCCCUCGCCACCCGUGGUGGCCACGUGCUGCCUGAAAGGCCUGGGAGAGUGGCCCAUUGCUGUCCUGGAGCCCAUCCUAGGGGCUGAAGAAAGAUCCCCUUCAGGUAUGACCUACCUUUUCCGGCCCCCCCACACCUCUGCUCCCAGGGCGUACCCCUACAGGGCCACCUCAGCUGUGAAACAGGCUAAAACAGACGUGCCUCAACUUCCAAGCAGAGUGCAAGCUUUUUAGCACAGGACUCGGGGCCAUCCCUUCAGCUGUAGAAUGUGGAAAAUAGGAAUACCUUGAAGGGUAAGUAUGAGGGUUAAAUGGGUUAAUACACGAAAAAGUACUUAGAAUAACACCUAGAUCCUAGUCAGUGUUCAAUCGCUGUUGUUGUUAUUACGUAUUAAUCUUGCUAUUAUUGAGAUAAUGAGAGCACCAAAUACAGAACUAAAUCUGUGCGUCCACUAAAGACCAGAGCAGAUCACACCAUUGCACCUCCUUAACCCCCACCCCCCCAGGGACUGCGGGUCUGUUUUCAGAUGACUUUUUCUGCCCUAAUGCUGGAGGAGGACCUUGCUCCCGUGUUAGUUACUGCGUAACUAACUUACUGGGUAAUCCUCUGUCUGGGUAAUUGUCUCCGAACGUGCUAUUUAGAAUGUCUACACUACAUUUAAAGAGCGUCUUGGAAUCACGGUGUCCUGGAAAUCACUACACUCGCCAGCUAUCAUCACGGAAUCACAGGCUGCAAGGAAGGACAGAUGCCAUUAAACCCAGCCCUCAGCCCCCAGCGCCCAGCUCAGACACAAGCCUCGCCUUAUUGCACAAAUGAAGCUUUUCUGGGGAAAUUUCUGUUAAAA
rnacentral:lncRNA from 1 species